rnacentral:rRNA from 1 species
AGGCGACCCCAGGUCAAGCGGGGCUACCCGCUGAGUUUAAGCAUAUCAAUAA